rnacentral:lncRNA from 10 species
CUUCUCUAAUGUUUAUUUGUUCAGACACCCAACUUAGAUAUAUUUUUUCAAGUUCUCACAUAAAACAAACACAAAACUGGAAAUUUAGAUUUAAAUUGCGUUUAAUUUAUACAUCCCUGCACAUCUGGGAGCUGGCCUUGGUAUUCUGUUGAAUAUAAACAAUUUCAGAGAACAUCAGCAUCGGACAAGGUCACUCUGUGACCGUGAGGGAGCAAGACAGAAACAGAACCACUCCAUCGUCACAUCUGAAUGCUGGCAAAGGUGAACACUGUCCAAACCACAAAAGGCAUGAAACAUCCCUCUUUCUCCCAUAAGAGAGUGACUGUUGUUUCCUUACCAAUUACAGCAUUAGCCUCCAACUAAUCUUCUCUCCUUCUGGGCAAGACUCAUUAAGAUAGUCCGUCAUAGACAUACCCCCACCUCUGACAGCAUCCAAGCCAGAGAGAAGCCUGGCUUCCCUAAACCCUGACUGAAAUCACUGAACAUGGGCACAAAUCCUCCUAUAAGUCCUUUCUAGCACCCUCUUAUUGAAAUUCCCCAGAGUGCAGGAGUAAUAUACCCAAUUUGUUCAACUGCAGAUGUAUUCCUGGUGCUCUUUCACUAGAGUGGCAGAUUAAUUUAGAAAAAGGCUUGCUUUAGUUUUCUAUCAGGAAAGACAUAAUUCAAUUUAUUCACAUCUCCUUGGAUAUCUGUACAGUUGUGAGGUUUUGUUCAUAUAUAAUAGCUAUUAAUACAUAUUGUAAAGUUUAUUUCUUCUUAGCUUAUAUUAAUAAUUGUUUCUAUUAAGAACUGAGGGGCUGGGCAUGAUGAUUCACACCUGUAAUUCCAGUGCUUUAGGAGGCCAAGAUGGGGGAGGAUUGCUUGAAGCCAGGAGUUUGAGACCGGCCUGGGAAACAUAGCAAGACUCCGUUCCUACAAAGAAAAAAAUUUUUUUAAACAUGAGUGGGGCACAGUGGCAUGUGCCUGUAGUCCCAGCUACUCAAGAAGCUAAGGUGGGAAGAUCACUUAAGCCAAGGAGUUUGAGGCUGCCGUUCGAGUCACGAUUGCACCACUGCACACCAGCCUGGGUUACGGAGGGAGACCCUUUCUCUAAAAACCAAAAUUGGGGCUUUUAUUUUUUUCAUUUUAUUUUCUAACUGAUUUUCUUUUUAAUCUAUAGCAGGGGUUGGCAAACUUUUUCUGUAAGGGGUCAAAUAGUAAAUAUUUUAGGUUUUGUGGACUUUAUGGCUUCUGUCGCAGCUACUCAACUUCACCGUUAUAGCAUGAAAGCAGUCAUAGACAAUACAUAAAUGAAUGAGCGUUGUUGUGUUCCAGUAAAUCUUUGCAGAAACAGACAAGGGGUUGGAUUUGAACCACAGGCCAUAGUUUUCAGACCCCUUGUCUAUAGCAAACCUGUUGAUUUUUAUAUGUCCAUUUUUAAACUAGAUAUCGACUGAAUUAUUUUGUUCCUAAUGAUUUUUAUUUUAUUUUAAGAUCCCCAGAAUUAGUCACCUCUCUUUCAAAUAAUAAUUUUUACCUCACCAUUACAUCUUCUUUUUGUUUUUUGUUUUUUGUUUUUUUUUUUUCAUUACACCUUGUAAUUUGUUUUCUUUUCUAAUUGCCUUGGCCAGUACUUGCAGAACAGUCUCUCAAAUGUUACUGGUAUCAGAGGACAACAUUGUCUUUUUCCUGAAACUUUCACGGGAGUGCUUCUGCUGUUUCACCAAUAAUCAUGAAACUGCCUUUUGACUUGUUAUAUAUGUCUCAUUAAAGCUGUACUACUAAGAGCUUUUAAAAAUUGGGAGUAGAUGUUGGAUCUUAUUUUUUAUUUUUAUGUUUUUGGUUUUGCAAGUUUCCUGUAGUCUGGAUAUUAGUAAUUGCAUUCCUAUAGUGUCAAGGUAAUCUAUACCUGUAUUUUCUGUAAUUACAUCUAGAAGCUUAAUUCGAUUCUUUGGGGAGGGGAGAGGGCAAGACUACUUCAUGGGUGGUUUUGUGUUUUUCCCUCUUUUUGUGAGGUUAGCAGCCAUAGAUGAUCAUUGCCUAGAUCCUUUAAUUCAUUAGAGGUUAAAACGCGUGUGUACGCGCACACACACACACACACACACAUAUUUUUGGGACAGAGUCUCACCUGGUAGCCCAGGCUGGAGCGCGGUGGCGCGAUCUUGGCUCACUCAGCUCAACCUCUGUCUCCCGGGUUCAAGCAAUUCUCCUGCCUUGGCCUCCUGAGUAGCUGGGAUUACAGGCGCAUGCCACCAUGCCAGGCUAAUUUUUGUAUUUUUAGUAGAGAUGGGGUUUUACCAUGUUGGCCAGGCUGGUCUCCAAAUCCUUACCUCAAGUGAUCUGCUCCCCUCCCUUGGGCUCCCAAAGUGCUGGGAUCACAGGCGUGAGGCAUGGUGCCCAGCCUAAAACUGAUAUUCUAAGUCCUCUCAUUUCUUCUUCAUUUACUAGCUGAAAUAGGUCUAUAAAGAAAAACUCUCCCCAUCAGCCAUUUGAUUGCCUGUUGGUACAGUGAGGAUAAGAAAGACAAAAUAAUUAGGCCGGGCACAGUGGCUCACACCUGUAAUCCCAGCACUUUGGGAAGCUGAGGUGGGUGGAUCACUUGAGGUCAGGAGUUCGGGACCAGCCUGGCCAACACGGUGAAACCUUAUCUCUACUAAAAAAUACAAAAAUUAGCCGGGCGUGGUGGCGCAUGCCUGUAAUCCCAGCUACUCAGGAGGCUGAGGCAGGAGAACUGCUUGAACCCGGGAGGUGGAGGUUGCAGUGAACUGAGAUCGAGCCACUGCACUCCAGCCUGGGUGACAGAGCGAGACUGCAUCUCAAAAAAAUCCUUUUAUUUUCCAGUUCUUAAAAUAAUGAUUUGUUGCCCUAGCAUAUUCCAAUGGUGACCUUUUAAAAAUGUUAAAUAAAUAUUAAAUAAAUAAAUAUAAAUAAAAAUAAUAAAUAAUGGAUUAACACUUUUAUGUUUCACAUAAUUGUGGUUAUUAUUCUUACUGAGGUGCAAAUUUCCCCAUCUUCUGCCAGUGGAAGCCUCUUCAAGUUAUCUCCUGAAUCUUUCGAUAUGACCCUAGUGAUCUUUUAUACAUAUCUUUGUUUUCCAGUACCACAAGAUGUUCCUGGCUCAUCUUGUACAUUUCCUGCCCCAGACUUGGAAUUAUACAUCUCUCCAAAGAUCGCUGGUUCCCUUCAGUGGGAAAUGAUAUUUAGUAAUCCAAUCUGAUACUAGAUGUAUUCAUUGCUACUGAGUUAGCCUUUGUUUCUAGAUAUUUCCAGUGGACAA